rnacentral:lncRNA from 1 species
GAAAAGCUAAGAAAGCACAUUACUUUCCCAGAAAGCCAAGAAACUACAAUUUGCCAGGAUGCAAAAUGCUAUACAAAUGUCUGUACGUAUCAGAAAAGUUGAGGGGACCUUAUUUAGUGUCAAACAUUGGACAUGGAAGCAUGAAAGCAAGAAAACUGCAGCACCUUACUCCAGGAAGUAAAUUUUGGGGAGGAAAUGAAGUUGCUGAAUCAUCAUGGUAA